UCAAACUUGGUCAUUUAGAGGAAGUACAAGUCGUAACAAGGUAUCCGUAGGUGAACCUGCGGAUGGAUCAUUACCAAGAGUACCACUCUGCGUACUGUGAACUGCACUGCUGCGGAGGCUGUCGGCGGCGCAUGCUGCCGGCGAUGCCGAGCCGAACGUAUCUGCUGUGAUCUUACAUGUGUUGUUGAAACAAACAACUUUUAGCAAUGGAUCUCUUGGCUCUCAAACUUGGUCAUUUAGAGGAAGUACAAGUCGUAACAAGGUAUCCGUAGGUGAACCUGCGGAUGGAUCAUUACCAAGAGUACCACUCUGCGUACUGUGAACUGCACUGCUGCGGAGGCUGUCGGCGGCGCAUGCUGCCGGCGAUGCCGAGCCGAACGUAUCUGCUGUGAUCUUACAUGUGUUGUUGAAACAAACAACUUUUAGCAAUGGAUCUCUUGGCUCUCGCAUCGAUGAAGAACGCAGC
rnacentral:misc_RNA from 1 species